UCACCACACAGCUGGAGGCUAGAGCUUCUAGAUUCAUCUAUAUACUUAAGAUUUCCAGUUUUGGAAAAAAGAUUUCAGAGUCCUGAGUGCUAGUGAUUACUGCUACUAUGUAGCAGCCAAUCCCCAGGAAAGAAGGCCAUUAACAUCCUUCAGAACCUACCCAAAAUCACCACAUUUGGUGAGAUCAGAGCCCCCAUUCCCUGCACUCAUGCAAGUUAUUCUCCAAAAAUGCCAGAAGUCAAAUUCAAACCAAUCUAAAUGGCACCAGGAUGCCAACAAGAAGAGGAGGACAAUGCUUCCCGGGGACAUUCCUUCCAUCAAGAGCACAGCAGAC
rnacentral:lncRNA from 1 species